rnacentral:rRNA from 1 species
AAAGGGAAACAGCCCAGACCACCAGUUAAGGUCCCCAAAUAUAUGUUAAGUGGAAAAGGAUGUGGGGUUGCUUAGACAACCAGGAUGUUGGCUUAGAAGCAGCCACCAUUGAAAGAGUGCGUAAUAGCUCACUGGUCGAGUGACCCCGCGCCGAAAAUGUACCGGGGCUAAACAUAUUACCGAAACUGUGGAUGAACCUCUUUAGAGGUUCGUGGUAGGAGAG